CUCAUCUCCACCUCCACCUUCCUCGAGAUUGAUCAAUUCUUCUUGUUGUGCCAACAAUCUUUUCUGUUGCUCCACAAAUUGUAUACGCACUCUCCUUGAAGAAGACAUUGUAAAAAAAACUCAAGAUUUGAAAACGAUGAAGAAAGAUUCUGAGCUAAAAAGAAGGAUUGAGUUUGGUGUGAGGAUGGAUGUAGAGAUGUAGGGUUUAUAUGGACAAAAAAAAAGAGAAAGGAUGAGGUUCUGGACAAUGCCACAUGGCACGUCGGGAUUGGUUGAAAAUCUUAUCGUAAUCUUGGCUAAAUUAUUGUAAACAUAUAGUGACACGUGGUGCAUCAGGAUUGGUUGCAAAUCUUAGCGAAAAUCUAUUCACAAA
rnacentral:lncRNA from 1 species